rnacentral:rRNA from 1 species
CCCUUAGAUGUUCUGGGCUGCACGCGCGCUACACUGAUGCAUUCAACGAGUGUUUAUCCUUGCCCGAUAGGGUUGGGUAAUCUUCUUAACAUGCAUCGUGAUGGGGAUAGACUCUUGCAAUUAUUAGUCUUAAACGAGGAAUUCCUAGUAAAUGCGAGUCAUCAGCUCGUGUUGAUUACGUCCCUGCCCUUUGUACACACCGCCCGUCGCUCCUACCGAUUGAGUGUUUCGGUGAAUAAUUCGGACCGCAACUUUCGGGAGCUUCUCUGGAUUGUUGUGGAAAGUUUGGUGAACUGCAACACUUAGAGGAAGGAGAAGUCGUANCA